GACGAACGCUGGCGGCGUGCCUAAUACAUGCAAGUAGAACGCACAGUUUAUACCGUAGCUUGCUACACCAUAGACUGUGAGUUGCGAACGGGUGAGUAACGCGUAGGUAACCUGCCUGGUAGCGGGGGAUAACUAUUGGAAACGAUAGCUAAUACCGCAUAAUAUUAAUUACUGCAUGAUAAUUAAUUGAAAGGUGCAAUUGCACCACUACCAGAUGGACCUGCGUUGUAUUAGCUAGUAGGUGAGGUAACGGCUCACCUAGGCGACGAUACAUAGCCGACCUGAGAGGGUGAUCGGCCACACUGGGACUGAGACACGGCCCAGACUCCUACGGGAGGCAGCAGUAGGGAAUCUUCGGCAAUGGACGAAAGUCUGACCGAGCAACGCCGCGUGAGUGAAGAAGGUUUUCGGAUCGUAAAGCUCUGUUGUAAGAGAAGAACGGGUGUGAGAGUGGAAAGUUCACACUGUGACGGUAUCUUACCAGAAAGGGACGGCUAACUACGU
rnacentral:rRNA from 1 species